rnacentral:rRNA from 1 species
AGCCGCGGUAAUACCGGCGGCUCGAGUGGUGGCCACUAUUACUGGGCUUAAAGCGUUCGUAGCUGGUUUGUUAAGUCUCUGGGGAAAUCUUCCGGCUUAACCGGAAGGCGUUUCAGGGAUACUGGCAGACUAGGGACCGGAAGAGGUGAGAGGUACUCCAGGGGUAGGAGUGAAAUCCUGUAAUCCUUGGGGGACCACCUGUGGCGAAGGCGUCUCACCAGGACGGCUCCGACAGUGAGGGACGAAAGCUGGGGGAGCAAACCGGAUUAGAUACCCGGGUAGUCCCAGCCGUAAACGAUGUGCGUUAGGUGUAUCGGUGACCACGAGUCACCGAGGUGCCGAAGAGAAAUCGUGAAACGUACCGCCUGGGAAGUACGGUCGCAAGGCUGAAACUUAAAGGAAUUGGCGGGGGAGCACCACAACAGGUGGAGCCUGCGGUUUAAUCGGACUCAACGCCGGGAAACUCACCAGAUAAGACAGCUGAAUGAUAGUCGGGCUGAAGACUCUACUUGACUAGCU